rnacentral:rRNA from 1 species
AUUGAACGCUGGCGGCAGGCCUCACACAUGCAAGUCGCACGAGUGGCGGACGGGUGAGUAAUGUCUGGGAAACUGCCUGAUGGCGGGGGCUAACUACUGGAAACGGUAGCUAAUACCGCAUACCCUCAGAUGUGCCCAGAUGGGAUUAGCUUGUUGGUGGGGUAACGGCUCACCAAGGCGACGAUCCCUAGCUGGUCUGAGAGGAGGCCAAGCCACACUGGAACUGAGACACGGGCAAGACUCCUAGGGGAGGCAGCAGUGGGUAAUAAUGCACAAUGGGCGCAAGCCUGAUGCAGCCAUGCCGCGUGUAUGAAGAAGGCCUUCGGGUUGUAAAGUACUUGCAGCGGGGAGGCGUUACCCGCAGAAGAAGCACCGGCUAACUCCGUGCCAGAAGCCGCGGUAAUAC